rnacentral:rRNA from 1 species
GAUGAACGCUAGCUACAGGCUUAACACAUGCAAGUCGAGGGGCAGCAUGAUUGAAGCUUGCUUCAAUCGAUGGCGACCGGCGCACGGGGGAGUAACACGUAUUCAACCUUCCGAUAACUCGGGGAUAGCCUUUCGAAAGAAAGAGUAAUAGCCGAUAGUAUAGUAUUUCCGCAUGGUUUCACUAUUAAAGAAUUUAGGUUAUCGAUAGGGAUGCGUUCCAUUAGAUAGUUGGCGAGGUAACGGCCCACCAAGUCAACGAGGGAUAGUGGUUCUGAGAGGAAGGUACCCCACAAUGGAGCUGAGACACAGUCCAAACUCGUACGGGAGGCAGCAGUGAGGAAUAUUGGUCACUGGACGAGAGUCUGAACCAGCCAAGUAGCGUGAAGGAUGACUGCCCUAUGGGUUGUAAACUUCUUUUAUACGGGGAUAAAGUGGAGUAUGCAUACUCCUUUGUAUGUAACGUAUGAGUAAGGAUCGGCUAACUACGUG